rnacentral:rRNA from 1 species
AGGACGAACGCUGGCGGCGUGCCUAACACAUGCAAGUUGAGCGACGAACCAGGGCUUGCCCUGGGGCAAAGCAGCGAACGGGUGAGUAACACGUGGGUAACGUGCCCCGAUAACCGGGACAACCCGGAGGAAACUCGGGCUAAUACCGGAUGUGCCCAUCAGACAUCAGUCUGGAUGUGUAAAGGAAGCUUCGGCCUCCGUAUCGGGAGCGGCCCGCGGCCCAUUAGCUAGUGUGAGGUACGCUCACCAGGCAACGAUGGGUAGCUGGUCUGAGAGGACGAUCAGCCACACUGGGACUGACGACACCGGCCCAGACUCCGUACGGGAGGCAGCGAGUGGGAAUCGUGCGACAAUGCGCGAAGCGUAGACGC